rnacentral:rRNA from 1 species
CUACGUGCCAGCAGCCGCGGUAAUACGUAUGUCGCAAGCGUUAUCCGGAAUUAUUGGGCAUAAAGGGCAUCUAGGCGGCCAGAUAAGUCUGGGGUGAAAACUUGCGGCUCAACCGCAAGCCUGCCCUGGAAACUAUGCGGCUAGAGUACUGGAGAGGUGGACGGAACUGCACGAGUAGAGGUGAAAUUCGUAGAUAUGUGCAGGAAUGCCGAUGAUGAAGAUAGUUCACUGGACGGUAACUGACGCUGAAGUGCGAAAGCUAGGGGAGCAAACAGGAUUAGAUACCCUGGUAGUCCUAGCUGUGAACGAUGAUUACUGGGUGUGGGCAUGAAGAGUGUCCGUGCCGAAGCUAAUGCGAUAAGUAAUCCGCCUGGGGAGUACGGCCGCAAGGCUGAAACUCAAAGGAAUUGACGGGGACCCGCACAAGCGGUGGAGCAUGUGGUUUAAUUCGACGCAACGCGAGGAACCUUACCAGAUCUUGACAUCCUG